rnacentral:pre_miRNA from 1 species
CUGCAGUGCAGCACUGCGUGUAUUUGACAAGCUGAGUUUGACACUCAGUCUGGCAGAGUGUCAGUUUGUCAAAUACCCCAAGUGAGGCACUUGCUGAG